rnacentral:rRNA from 1 species
GACGUAGGGCGCGAGCAUUGUCCGGAUUUACUGGGCGUAAAGGGCGCGUAGGCGGCUUAACAAGUCACUUGUGAAAUCUCCGGGCUUAACUCGGAACGGCCAAGUGAAACUGUCAAGCUAGAGUGCAGAAGGGGCAGUCGGAAUUCUUGGUGUAGCGGUGAAAUGCGUAGAUAUCAGGAGGAACACCGGUGGCGAAGGCGGGUCUCUGGGCCUUACCUGACGCUGAGGAGCGAAAGCGUGGGGAGCGAACAGG